UACGUAGGCAGCAAGCGUUGUUCGGAGUUACUGGGCGUAAAGAGUGCGUAGGUGGUGCCCCUAAGUCUGUUGUGAAAUCUCCCGGCUUAACUGGGAGGGUGCGGUGGAAACUGGGGUGCUUGAGUGUGGGAGAGGUAAGCGGAAUUCCCUGGUGUAGCGGUGAAAUGCGUAGAUAUCAGGAGGAACACCGGUGGUGUAGACGGCUUACUGGACCACGACUGACACUGAGGCACGAAAGCGUGGGUAGCAAACAGG
rnacentral:rRNA from 1 species